rnacentral:lncRNA from 1 species
AGUGGGAUCAUUGGGCGGUGGGCGGUGUGGAGGAGUCUCCGCUGGUCCGCAGAAACGAACGAAGGCGCGAGAAUCGGGAAGUUCUGCCUCAGUGACCUGUACGCGUCCUAGCCGCAGUGAAUGUUGCUGAACCCCGGUGACCUCACAGUGGAGGGGCGGCCCCAUGGGGCCAUCGGACCGCGCCGCGCGGGGGCGUUCGCCAGGGCCUCCGCAGAAGCCCGCCUGUGCCCGCAACCGCCCCGAAAUUCUCUCCCUGGCACCGUGUCCGCUUUACGGAGCCCGGAGCAAGGCUCAGAAAAAUGUCCCAGCCAAAAACAUGGUACAUGCCUGUCAUCAGGCAAGUCUUCAAAGAGCGGCUGGGACCAGGGGCCGAGGGACCUCGUUUAGAGGCGGCUUAGGGGGAAGGUCAGCAGUUGUGUUUCAGUUGUGUUGGGUUUUCGGCGCCCCACAAUGCGGGCGACGUAUGGGCCACAGGUGUGGAUGCCAGGGACAGGUCGCCCUGCACAUGGCUGAGGCACGGUAGGCUUGUAGUCUACCCCAUAUCAGGCCAUGGUGAUCUCAGGUAUGGGGGCCUGGGAGAGGAGAGUGAGUACAUGGCUGAGUACGUCAGAGCACGGGGUCAGGGACACAUCAGGGGAGGACGCUGGCAGGAGAAUAACCGGGCUCCUGGGUGUCCUCCGCUGAAUUCAGACGCGUUCAUGUUAGAGCAGGUGGGCCUGCGUCCUCCCGGACGAACGGAGUUCUUAGGCAAGGUCCAGAGGAGCUUCUACCUGAAGUGGUGCUGGAGAACUUUGCACUCAGUGCUGGGUGAGACCACUGGCACCAUAACUCUCCCCAGCCUCAACUCUGGUUUUUUUCCUCUGUUCUUUCCAUGUUCCCCUUGGAAGUCGCUGUUGGUCGUGGCACUGAGGCCCAGAUCAUGCCACCUCCUCUAACAAGUGGCUGAGUGGACACCCCACACAUUCUACCCAAGGGCCGUGAGUGGCCAAGAUCGGGGCUCAGAAGUCUCUGAAUCUUCACAGCUGGUCACGUUCAGCUCGGUCACUUCCUGUAAGAUUCCAGGCACUGCAUGCACUGACAUGGGUGCGUGUGGGCCCACUGGGUCCUGCCUGGGAGCCUUCCCUGAAUGUUCAUUUUUUGCAGGUCUGUGUUUGUCUUGGAGUAAGGAUUAUUCUCGCUUGCUGGGGUCAUGGUGUUUUGGCCUCUCCUGGCCUGGACUCUCAAAAACUCAUCAUCCUUCAUAGGUCUGAAGGCUUCUACAUUCCCACCAGCAGGUGGACCAUAUGAACUCAAAACUAGUUGUGGCAGAGGGACCCUGAAGAGAUCUACCCCUGGAUUGCCCUUUACAGUUCAUGAGUUCCCCCAACUGGAGUGCAGACAAGAGCACUGAUUGAUGGACCAGGUAGACUUGAAACCAGGAAUAGCACAAAAGUUAUCAAAGAGGCUCAGCCAUGGAGAUUGCAAGCUGGGGAUGGAAGUAUCCCUGGAAUUGAGCUGUUCUCACACCUGGUACCUGAGUUAUACCCCUGGUGUCUGGGUACCAAGGUCACUAGCCUUGCCACUUUUCUAUGUUCCUGAUCCCCUACUAAACAGUCCACCUUUUCGCCUACUUCCCCUGACUCCUGUACCCUGUCCCCUCUUUCUGCCUAGUUUGAAGACACUGGUCAUCCCAUAACAUGUCCUGGGCUAAUACAUAUCCUCAAAUCGUUCUUGAAAAUCUGUUCCUCUUCCCUCCUCCCCCUCCCCCUCCCCCCCCCCCCGCUCUUUCCACGGUCUCCCUCUGAUGCCGAGCCGAAGCUGGACGGUACUGCUGCCAUCUCGGCUCACUGCAACCUCCCUGCCUGAUUCUCUUGCCUCAGCCUGCCGAGUGCCUGCGAUUGCAGGCGCGUGCCGCCACGCCUGACUGGUUUUCGUAUUUUUUUUGGUGGAGACGGGGUUUCGCUGUGUUGGCCGGGCUGGUCUCCAGCUCCUAACCACGAGUGAUCCGCCAGCCUCGGCCUCCCGAGGUGCCGGGAUUGCAGACGGAGUCUCGUUCAUUCAGUGCUCAAUGGUGUCCAGGCUGGAGUGCAGUGGCGUGAUCUCGGCUCGCUACAACCUCCACCUCCCAGCAACCCGCCUUGGCCUCCCAAAGUGCCGAGAUUGCAGCCUCUGCCCGGCGGCCACCCCGUCUGGGAAGUGAGGAGCGUCUCCGCCUGGCCGCCCAUCAUCUGGGAUGUGAGGAGCCCCUCUGCCUGGCUGCCCAGUCUGGAAAGUGAGGAGCGUCUCUGCCCGGCCGCCAUCCCAUCUAGGAAGUGAGGAGCGCCUCUUCCCGGCCGCCAUCACAUCUGGGAAGUGAGGAGCGUCUCUGCCCGGCCGCCCAUCGUCUGAGAUGUGGGGAGCAUCUCUGCCCUGCCGCCCCGUCCGGGAUGUGAGGAGCGUCUCUGCCCGGCCGCCCCGUCUGAGAAGUGAGGAGACCCUCUGCCUGGCAACUGCCCCGUCUGAGAAGUGAGGAGCCCCUCCGCCCGGCAGCCGCCCCGUCUGAGAAGUGAGGAGCCCCUCCGCCCAGCAGCCACCCCGUCUGGGAAGUGAGGAGCAUCUCCGCCCGGCAGCCGCCCCGUCUGAGAAGUGAGGAGCCUCUCCGCCCAGCAGCCACCUCGUCCGGGAGGGAGGUGGGGGGGUCAGCCCCCCGCCCGGCCAGCCGCCCCGUCCGGGAGGGAGGUGGGGGGAUCAGUCCCCCACCCGGCCAGCCGCCCUGUCCGGGAGAUGAGGGGCGCCUCUGCCCGGCCGCCCCUACUGGGAAGUGAGGAGCCCUUCUGCCCGGCCAGCCGCUCCGUCCGGGAGGGAGGUGGGGGGGUCAGCCCCCCGCCCGGCCAGCCGCCCUGUCCGGAAGGGAGGUGGGGGGGUCAGCCCCCCGCGCGGCCAGCCGACCCGUCCGGGAGGGAGGUGGGGGGGUCAGCCCCCUGCCCGGCCAGCCGCCCCGUCCGGGAGGUGCGGGGCGCCUCUGCCCGGCCGCCCCUACUGGGAAGUGAGGAGCCCCUCUGCCCGGCCAGCCGCCCCAUCUGGGAGGGAGGUGGGGGGGUCAGCCCCCCGCCCUGCCAGCCGCCCUGUCCGGGAGGGAGGUGGGGGGGUCAGCCCCCCGCCUGGCCAGCCACCCCGUCCGGGAGGUGAGGGGCGCCUCUGCCCGGCCGCCCCUACUGGGAAGUGAGGAGCCCCUCUGCCUGGCCAGCCGCCCCGUCCAGGAGGGAGGUGGGGGGGGGGGUCAGCCCCCCGCCUGGCGAGCCGCCCUGUCCGGGAGGUGAGGGGCGCCUCUGCCCGGCCGCCCCUACUGGGAAAUGAGGAGCCCCUCUGCCCGGCCACCACCCCAUCUGGGAGGUGUACCCAACAGCUCGUUGAGAACGGGCCAUGAUGACAAUGGCGGUUUUGUGGAAUAGAAAGGGGGGAAAGAUGGGGAAAAGAUUGAGAAAUCGGAUGGUUGCCGUGUCUGUGUAGAAAGAGGUAGACGUGGGAGACUUUUCAUUUUGUUCUGUACUAAGAAAAAUUCUUCUGCCUUGGGAUCCUGUUGAUCUGUGACCUUACCCCCAACCCUGUGCUCUCUGAAACAUGUGCUGUAUCCACUCAGGGUUGAAUGGAUUAAGGGCGGUGCAAGAUGUGCUUUGUUAAACAGAUGCUUGAAGGCAGCAUGCUCCUUAAGAGUCAUCACCACUCCCUAAUCUCAAGUACCCAGGGACACAAACACUGCGGAAGGCCGCAGGGUCCUCUGCCUAGGAAAACCAGAGACCUUUGUUCACUUGUUUAUCUGCUGACCUUCCCUCCCCUAUUGUCCUGUGACCCUGCCAAAUCCCCCUCUACGAGAAACACCCAAGAAUGAUCAAUAAAAAAAAAAGAAAAAAAAAAAAUCUGUUCCUCUGUGAGAUGGGCCUGAUCUCUCCCACGGGUGGAGCAGAGGAGUAGAGGGUCCAGGGCCUGAGUCUCCCAUAGGCUAAGUAUUUGCCCUGAGUCAUAAAGCCAGUGGGAGGCAGUGCUACAGUUUGAUUCCAGGAAGUCUCAGACCAAAGUUCUCUCUUAACCACUUACCUUUCCUGGGCUUAAUAGUUAGUUCAUUUAUGUUUUUCCUGGCACUACUUCAUUGGACCUCAUUUUAGUUUCUUCUUUUUUUUUUUUUUUUUUGAGACGGAGUUGCUCUGACACCCAGGCUGGAGUGCAGUGCCACGAUCUCACAGUAACCUCCGCCUCCCGGGUUCAAGCAAUUCUGUCUCAGCCUCACGAAUAGCUGGGACGACAAGCGCGUGCCACCACACCCGGCUAAUUUUUGUAUUUUUAGUAGAGUUGGGGUUUCACCAUUUUGGCCAGGAUGGUCUCCAUCUCCUGACCUCGUGAUCCGCCCCGCUCAGCCUCCCAAAAUGCUGGGAUUACAGGCAUGAGCUACCGCACCCGGCCCAUUUGUUAACAUUGUAAAAUGAAUAUUAGUACAUUAUUAUUAAUGUACAUUAUAUGGGUUUUCACAAAUGCAUAAAUUCAUGUAUCCACCAUUACAAUAUAGUACAAAAUACUUUUACUGCCCCCAAAAAUUACUUGUGCUACUAUUCAUUCCUCCCUCCCUCCCUCCCUCCCUCCCACUGAGUCCCUGGCAGUCACUGCUUUACUGUCUCUAUAGCUUUACCUUUUCCAGAAUGUCAUAAACUUGUAAUCAUACAGUAUGUAGCUUUUUCAGUCUGGCUUCUGUCACUUACCAAUGUGCAUUUCAGACUCCUCCAUGCCUUUCAUAACUUGGUAGCACAGUUAAUUUUAUUGCUGAAUGAUAUUCCAUUGUGUGGAUGUAACACAGAUUAGCCAUUUAUCUAUUGAAGGACAUCUGGGUUGAUUCAAGUUUUGAGCAAUUAUGAAUAAAGCUGCUAUAAUAAUUUGUGUGGUUUUCGCAUGGA